ACUAAGCGUACACGGUGGAUGCCCUGGCAGUCAGAGGCGAUGAAGGACGUGCUAAUCUGCGAUAAGCGUCGGUAAGGUGAUAUGAACCGUUAUAACCGGCGAUUUCCGAAUGGGGAAACCCAGUGUGAUUCGUCACACUAUCAUUAACUGAAUCCAUAGGUUAAUGAGGCGAACCGGGGGAACUGAAACAUCUAAGUACCCCGAGGAAAAGAAAUCAACCGAGAUUCCCCCAGUAGCGGCGAGCGGACGGGGAGCAGCCCAGAGCCUGAAUCAGUGUGUGUGUUAGUGGAAGCGUCUGGAAAGGCGUGCGAUACAGGGUGACAGCCCCGUACACAAAAAUGCACAUAUUGUGAGCUUGAUGAGUAGGGCGGGACACGUGGUAUCCUGUCUGAAUAUGGGGGGACCAUCCUCCAAGGCUAAAUACUCCUGACUGACCGAUAGUGAACCAGUACCGUGAGGGAAAGGCGAAAAGAACCCCGGCGAGGGGAGUGAAAAAGAACCUGAAACCGUGUACGUACAAGCAGUGGGAGCACGCUUAGGCGUGUGACUGCGUACCUUUUGUAUAAUGGGUCAGCGACUUAUAUUCUGUAGCAAGGUUAACCGAAUAGGGGAGCCGAAGGGAAACCGAGUCUUAACUGGGCGUUAAGUUGCAGGGUAUAGACCCGAAACCCGGUGAUCUAGCCAUGGGCAGGUUGAAGGUUGGGUAACACUAACUGGAGGACCGAACCGACUAAUGUUGAAAAAUUAGCGGAUGACUUGUGGCUGGGGGUGAAAGGCCAAUCAAACCGGGAGAUAGCUGGUUCUCCCCGAAAGCUAUUUAGGUAGCGCCUCGUGAAUUCAUCUCCGGGGGUAGAGCACUGUUUCGGCAAGGGGGUCAUCCCGACUUACCAACCCGAUGCAAACUGCGAAUACCGGAGAAUGUUAUCACGGGAGACACACGGCGGGUGCUAACGUCCGUCGUGAAGAGGGAAACAACCCAGACCGCCAGCUAAGGUCCCAAAGUCAUGGUUAAGUGGGAAACGAUGUGGGAAGGCCCAGACAGCCAGGAUGUUGGCUUAGAAGCAGCCAUCAUUUAAAGAAAGCGUAAUAGCUCACUGGUCGAGUCGGCCUGCGCGGAAGAUGUAACGGGGCUAAACCAUGCACCGAAGCUGCGGCAGCGACGCUUAUGCGUUGUUGGGUAGGGGAGCGUUCUGUAAGCCUGCGAAGGUGUGCUGUGAGGCAUGCUGGAGGUAUCAGAAGUGCGAAUGCUGACAUAAGUAACGAUAAAGCGGGUGAAAAGCCCGCUCGCCGGAAGACCAAGGGUUCCUGUCCAACGUUAAUCGGGGCAGGGUGAGUCGACCCCUAAGGCGAGGCCGAAAGGCGUAGUCGAUGGGAAACAGGUUAAUAUUCCUGUACUUGGUGUUACUGCGAAGGGGGGACGGAGAAGGCUAUGUUGGCCGGGCGACGGUUGUCCCGGUUUAAGCGUGUAGGCUGGUUUUCCAGGCAAAUCCGGAAAAUCAAGGCUGAGGCGUGAUGACGAGGCACUACGGUGCUGAAGCAACAAAUGCCCUGCUUCCAGGAAAAGCCUCUAAGCAUCAGGUAACAUCAAAUCGUACCCCAAACCGACACAGGUGGUCAGGUAGAGAAUACCAAGGCGCUUGAGAGAACUCGGGUGAAGGAACUAGGCAAAAUGGUGCCGUAACUUCGGGAGAAGGCACGCUGAUAUGUAGGUGAAGUCCCUCGCGGAUGGAGCUGAAAUCAGUCGAAGAUACCAGCUGGCUGCAACUGUUUAUUAAAAACACAGCACUGUGCAAACACGAAAGUGGACGUAUACGGUGUGACGCCUGCCCGGUGCCGGAAGGUUAAUUGAUGGGGUCAGCGCAAGCGAAGCUCUUGAUCGAAGCCCCGGUAAACGGCGGCCGUAACUAUAACGGUCCUAAGGUAGCGAAAUUCCUUGUCGGGUAAGUUCCGACCUGCACGAAUGGCGUAAUGAUGGCCAGGCUGUCUCCACCCGAGACUCAGUGAAAUUGAACUCGCUGUGAAGAUGCAGUGUACCCGCGGCAAGACGGAAAGACCCCGUGAACCUUUACUAUAGCUUGACACUGAACAUUGAGCCUUGAUGUGUAGGAUAGGUGGGAGGCUUUGAAGUGUGGACGCCAGUCUGCAUGGAGUCGACCUUGAAAUACCACCCUUUAAUGUUUGAUGUUCUAACGUGGACCCGUGAUCCGGGUUGCGGACAGUGUCUGGUGGGUAGUUUGACUGGGGCGGUCUCCUCCUAAAGAGUAACGGAGGAGCACGAAGGUUGGCUAAUCCUGGUCGGACAUCAGGAGGUUAGUGCAAUGGCAUAAGCCAGCUUGACUGCGAGCGUGACGGCGCGAGCAGGUGCGAAAGCAGGUCAUAGUGAUCCGGUGGUUCUGAAUGGAAGGGCCAUCGCUCAACGGAUAAAAGGUACUCCGGGGAUAACAGGCUGAUACCGCCCAAGAGUUCAUAUCGACGGCGGUGUUUGGCACCUCGAUGUCGGCUCAUCACAUCCUGGGGCUGAAGUAGGUCCCAAGGGUAUGGCUGUUCGCCAUUUAAAGUGGUACGCGAGCUGGGUUUAGAACGUCGUGAGACAGUUCGGUCCCUAUCUGCCGUGGGCGCUGGAGAACUGAGGGGGGCUGCUCCUAGUACGAGAGGACCGGAGUGGACGCAUCACUGGUGUUCGGGUUGUCAUGCCAAUGGCACUGCCCGGUAGCUAAAUGCGGAAGAGAUAAGUGCUGAAAGCAUCUAAGCACGAAACUUGCCCCGAGAUGAGUUCUCCCUGACCCUUUAAGGGUCCUGAAGGAACGUUGAAGACGACGACGUUGAUAGGCCGGGUGUGUAAGCGCAGCGAUGCGUUGAGCUAACCGGUACUAAUGAACCGUGAGGCUUAACC
rnacentral:rRNA from 1 species